rnacentral:rRNA from 1 species
CCUACGGGAGGCAGCAGUGAGGAAUAUUGGUCAAUGGACGAGAGUCUGAACCAGCCAAGUAGCGUGAAGGAUGACUGCCCUAUGGGUUGUAAACUUCUUUUAUAUGGGAAUAAAACGUUCCACGUGUGGGAUUUUGUAUGUACCAUAUGAAUAAGGAUCGGCGUACUCCGUGCCCGCAGCCCCGGUAAUACGGAGGUUCCGAGCGUUAUCCGGAUUUAUUGGGUUUAAAGGGAUCGUAGGUGGAUAGUUAAGUCAGUUGUGAAAGUUUGCGGCUCAACCGUAAAAUUGCAGUUGAAACUGGGUGUCUUGAGUACAGUAGAGGUGGGCGGAAUUCGUGGUGUAGCGGUGAAAUGCUUAGAUAUCACGAAGAACUCCGAUUGCGAAGGCAGUUCACUGGACUGCAACUGACACUGAGGCUCGAAAGUGUGGGUAUCAAACAGGAUUAGAUACCCUUGUAGUC